AUGGGGACUUCCACGGUGUCCUCGAGAAGGCGACUCGAGCUGGGACAGGCGAGUGACAGGAGCACUGUCCUACACCAACAGAUGAGCCGGGACAACGACUUCCCGGGCGGGGGGGGGCCGCCAGCAGGAAGAAAGCAGGCAGGAGAGGGCCGCAGCGCGACGGCGCGGCCGACGGGGGGCAGGUGUCCAGCGCGAGGAGUGGAGGCGCCAGGCUCACGCUGCGAACCUCCCUGUCACCUCGGUGGCUCCCGACGCGCUCGCAGGAGCGGCCACGGGCCAGGGUCCACGCCGGCCCAUGCAGGGCUCGCAGGCUGCUCGGGGCUCUGCUCGCCUGUGCUGCCCACGCCCACUCCAGGCCCCGAUGGCCGCGGGACAAGGCACCCGGGUCACAGCCCCCUGGAAAGCACGGGACACGACCAGGCUGCGGGGACACCCACGCGCGGCCAACACCUCACACUCCGUAAACCAGACGAAACGCCUGGGUCACUCUCCUCAGCUGCGAAGGGGCAUCGCUGGUUCAGUGCAGCUGCAGCUCGGGGGGGCCAACGGCAAGGUCACGCCAACCACGGCUGCCAGACGGGUCCCUGCGGGCCCUGCAUGAGGAGGCAGGUGGACGCCAGACGGGUCCCCGCGGGCCCUUCGCAAGGACAGCAGGUGGAUGUGAGACAGGUCCCCACGGUUCCUGCACAAGGAGGCAGGUGGACCAAGACGGGUCCCUGCGGGCCCUCCGCAAGGACAGCAGGUGGAUGUGAGACGAGUCCCCAUGGGCCCUGCACGAGGAGGCAGGUGGACAUGAGACGGGUCCCCACGGACCCUACACGAGGACAGCCAGUGGCCGCGAGCCCGGAGAGGCCUGUGACGGCUGCGUCGGGUCUGCGCCACUCCGCGCGGCUCCACAAGGCUGUUGCCGAGGAGCCCGAGCACCGCCGAUUCCCAUCGCCCGCCCGCGGCCUCGCCCCGGAGCAUCCGCUCGCCGCCCCAGAACCUGGCCUGAACCCCCAGCCGCGGCUCCCCUGGCCCCAGGCCUCUGAUCGGAGGAGCCGCCCCUGGUGCGGCCACGGCCCGGGCCUCUCGGCCUCCCCGACCCCGCGGGCCGGCUCGUGGGGACACCCCACGCAUCUCAAGCUCAUCCCCUCGCAGCCGCGGUCUCUGGAGCCCCCGGGCCAGGACGUGAGGCUUUCGGACUUAGAGCCGUGA
rnacentral:lncRNA from 12 species